rnacentral:rRNA from 1 species
AUUGAACGCUGGCGGCAUGCCUUACACAUGCAAGUCGAACGGUAACAGGUUAAGCUGACGAGUGGCGAACGGGUGAGUAAUAUAUCGGAACGUGCCCAGUCGUGGGGGAUAACUGCUCGAAAGAGCAGCUAAUACCGCAUACGACCUGAGGGUGAAAGCGGGGGAUCGCAAGACCUCGCGCGAUUGGAGCGGCCGAUAUCAGAUUAGGUAGUUGGUGGGGUAAAAGCCUACCAAGCCAACGAUCUGCAGCUGGUCUGAGAGGACGACCAGCCACACUGGGACUGAGACACGGCCCAGACUCCUACGGGAGGCAGCAGUGGGGAAUUUUGGACAAUGGGCGCAAGCCUGAUCCAGCCAUGCCGCGUGCGGGAAGAAGGCCUUCGGGUUGUAAACCGCUUUUGUCAGGGAAGAAAAGGGUGUUUCUAAUACAGACGCCUCAUGACGGUACCUGAAGAAUAAGCACCGGCUAACUACGUGCCAGCCGCCGCCGUAAAAC